ACGGAAGGCAGCAGUGAGGAAUAUUGGUCAAUGGGCGAGAGCCUGAACCAGCCAAGUCGCGUGAAGGAUGAAGGUUCUAUGGAUUGUAAACUUCUUUUGUUCGAGGGUAAAGUGAGAGAUGCGUCUCUUAUUGCAAGUAUCGGACGAAUAAGCAUCGGCUAACUCCGUGCCAGCAGCCGCGGUAAUACGGAGGAUGCGAGCGUUAUCCGGAUUUAUUGGGUUUAAAGGGUGCGUAGGCGGAUGAUUAAGUCAGCGGUGAAAGCGUGUUGCUAAACAAUACCAAGCCGUUGAAACUGGUUAUCUUGAGAGUAAACGAGGUAGGCGGAAUGUGAUGUGUAGCGGUGAAAUGCAUAGAUAUGUCACAGAACCCCGAUUGCGAAGGCAGCUUACCAGCAUACGACUGACGCUGAGGCACGAAAGCGUGGGUAUCAAACAGGAUUAGAUACCCUGGUA
rnacentral:rRNA from 1 species